AGUUUAGGUUUGUUGGAAGAACUAUCCAUCUGGUUCAGUUCCAAGCCGGGAAAAAGACACUGGAAACAUGGAGGCCAGAGGUUCUUCUGCAGAUGAAGAGAAAGAAAUAUUCAAGGAAAUGAGAAGAGUAAUUCUGGGCAGAUUGAAAAUCAUCAAUUUGCUCAAGAAGAGUCAAGUUCAAGGAAUUCAGCCAGGAUCUCGUUUGCGCAAGAAUGGAAAUCCAAAAAUAUCCCAUCGGAGGCUAUGUUAACCGCAAAGAUCAUGGACUGUGCAGAGGCAGACAAGCUUACCAGACUUCUGCGAGAUAGACAAGAAUCGGGGCUAUAUAUGAGUUGGGACCGGUGGUAUGCUUGGCUGCAAAAAAGAAAUCUUAGGAAGAAUGUAAAAUAAUAAUCUUAGUGUGACUGUGGGUAAAUAUUUAUAGGAAUAUUGCAUGGCAGCUGAGAAUUCCUUCUUCUGGAUAAUCUUUUCUUUUUCUGAUGUUUUGGUUUAAUGGAGGUUUGUACUAUUUCUAGGCGAAAAUUGAUGCUUUAAAACUCUAUAUGUAUUAUAUCACU